rnacentral:siRNA from 1 species
GAACUAAGCAAUAAGGCUACGUG